UCCUGUUUGACACAGGCAGUCCCCCCAGAGUCCCCGGCAUGACCCGCUGGCAACUGAGGGUAAGGGUUUCGCUCGUUAUAGGACUUAACCCGACAUCUCACGACACGAGCUGACGACAGCCAUGCAGCACCUGUGGUCGCUUCCGGAUUGGAUACCGUUCGUUCCCGUUUCCGGGUCCUACCUGCAACCUCUUUCGAACAUGUCAAGUCCAGGAUAAGGUUCUUCGCGUAGCCUCGAAUUAAGCCACAUGCUCCACCGCUUGUGUGAGCCCCCGUCAAUUUCUUUGAGUUUCAGCCUUGCGGCCAUACUCCCCAGGCGGAGAACUUAGCACUUUUGCUUCGGCAGUAAGUCCAUGUCUAACCUACUACCUAGUUCUCAUCGUUUAGGGCCAGGACUAC
rnacentral:misc_RNA from 1 species